UAUCCAUUGGAGGGCAAGUCUGGUGCCAGCAGCUGCGGUAAUACCAGCUCCAAUAGCGUAUAUUAAAGUUGUUGCAGUUAAAAAGCUCGUAGUUGGACUUGUGUGCGCUGUCCGCGGGUGGCCUGCGCCCAAAAGGGCGUUUCGGUUCGGCCCCGGUGGCGCCUUGAAAUCUGCAGCUGGGGGGACGUUGGCCUUAACUGGUCGGCGACCGCACUCCGGCUGCUCGGUUACUGUGAGAAAAUUAGAGUGUUCAAGGCAGGCAUUGGGUGCAAUUGAAUACAUUAGCAUGGAAUAAUAAAAUAUGGCUCCUGCCGUAUUUUGUUGGUUUUGACUGGUGGGAGUAAUGAUUGAUAGGGACGGUUGGGGGUGCUAGUAUUGAGCGGCCAGAGGUGAAAUUCAUGGAUUCGCUCAAGACUAACUUAUGCGAAAGCAUUCACCAAGGACGUCCUCUUUAAUCAAGAACGAAAGUUGGGGGAUCGAAGACGAUCAGAUACCGUCGUAGUCUCAACCAUAAACUAUGUCGACUUGGGAUCGGCGGUAGUUUUUUCAUUAAGACACUGUCGGGACCACGGGAGAAAUCAAAGUGUCUGGACUCUGGGGGAAGUAUGGUCGCAAGGCUGAAACUUGAAGGAAUUGACGGAAGGGCACCACCAGGAGUGGAGCCUGCGGCUUAAUUUGACACAACACGGGGAAACUUACCAGGUCCAGAGAUGUAGAGGAUUGACAGAUUGAAGCUCUUUCUUGAUCACUUCGGUGGUGGUGCAUGGCCGUUCUUAGUUGGUGGAGUGAUUUGUCUGGUUAAUUCCGUUAACGAACGAGACCUCAGCCUGCUAGUGUAGUCGGCUGGAUUGCCUUUGGCGAUCCGUGAUUUCGACUUCUUAGAGGGACAAUCGAUGCGCAGUCGAUGGAAGUUUGAGGCAAUAACAGGUCUGUGAUGCCCUUAGAUGUUCUGGGCCGCACGCGCGCUACACUGCUGGGCUCAGCGAGUUUUACUUGGCCGAGAGGCCCGGUUAAUCUUGUGAAAUCCCAGCGUGCUUGGGCUCGCCUCCUGCAACUGGAGGCGCCAACGAGGAAUUCCUAGUAGACGCAGGUCAUCAACCUGCAUCGAUUACGUCCCUGCCCUUUGUACACACCGCCCGUCGUUCCAUAAGAGUGAGGCAUCCGGUGAAUUCUCGGGAGAGCCUGGGCGUGGCCAGCAAUGGUCUGCUCGGGUUUGAACUUGCAUAAACUUGGUGCCUAUGAUUAGGG
rnacentral:rRNA from 1 species